rnacentral:rRNA from 1 species
UGCCAGCCGCCGCGGUAAUACCGGCAGCCCGAGUGAUGGCCGAUCUUAUUGGGCCUAAAGCGUCCGUAGCUGGGUCUGAAAGUCCAUCGGGAAAUCCACUCGCCCAACGAGUGGGCGUCCGACGGAAACUGCACAGCUUGGGACCGGAAGGCUCGAAGGGUACGUGCGGGGUAGGAGUGAAAUCCCAUAAUCCCGCACGGACCACCGAUGGCGAAAGCACUUCGAGAAAACGGAUCCGACAGUGAGGGACGAAAGCCAGGGUCUCCAACCGGAUUAGAAACCCCUGUAGUC